GGCUCAUCUGAGUGCAGUAGUGUUUACAAGUAAUUGAUCACAAGCAGUGACAGAUUUAUUUGUUCCUUCUCCACCUUCAUUGCUUCACUUGACUAGCCUUUA
ensembl:misc_RNA Y_RNA Y RNA